rnacentral:rRNA from 2 species
GGGGAAUAUUGCACAAUGGGGGAAACCCUGAUGCAGCGACGCCGCGUGGAGGAAGAAGGUCUUCGGAUUGUAAACUCCUGUUGUUGGGGAAGAUAAUGACGGUACCCAACAAGGAAGUGACGGCUAACUACGUGCCAGCAGCCGCGGUAAAACGUAGGUCACAAGCGUUGUCCGGAAUUACUGGGUGUAAAGGGAGCGCAGGCGGGAAGACAAGUUGGAAGUGAAAUCUAUGGGCUCAACCCAUAAACUGCUUUCAAAACUGUUUUUCUUGAGUAGUGCAGAGGUAGGCGGAAUUCCCGGUGUAGCGGUGGAAUGCGUAGAUAUCGGGAGGAACACCAGUGGCGAAGGCGGCCUACUGGGCACCAACUGACGCUGAGGCUCGAAAGUGUGGGUAGCAAACAGGAUUAGAUACCCUGGUAGUCCACACCGUAAACGAUGAUUACUAGGUGUUGGAGGAUUGACCCCUUCAGUGCCGCAGUUAACACAAUAAGUAAUCCACCUGGGGAGUACGACCGCAAGGUUGAAACUCAAAGGAAUUGACGGGGGCCCGCACAAGCAGUGGAGUAUGUGGUUUAAUUCGACGCAACGCGAAGAACCUUACCAAGUCUUGACAUCCCUUGACAGACAUAGAAAUAUGUAAUCUCUUCGGAGCAAGGAGACAGGUGGUGCAUGGUUGUCGUCAGCUCGUGUCGUGAGAUGUUGGGUUAAGUCCCGCAACGAGCGCAACCCUUAUGGUCAGUUACUACGCAAGAGGACUCUGGCCAGACUGCCGUUGACAAAACGGAGGAAGGUGGGGAUGACGUCAAAUCAUCAUGCCCUUUAUGACUUGGGCUACACACGUACUACAAUGGCGUUAAACAAAGAGAAGCAAGACCGCGAGGUGGAGCAAAACUCAGAAACAACGUCCCAGUUCGGACUGCAGGCUGCAACUCGCCUGCACGAAGUCGGAAUUGCUAGUAAUCGUGGAUCAGCAUGCCACGGUGAAUACGUUCCCG